GAUGAACGCUGGCGGCGUGCCUAACACAUGCAAGUCGAACGAACAGACGAUCAGCGUUUUCCUCUGACGGUAGCGGGGGACGGGUGAGUAAAACAUGGAUAACACACCUCUAAUUCUUGGGGAACAUCGUGAGAACGGAGCUCAUACCCCAGAAUAUAACGAACCGCAUGGUUCAGUAGUGAAAGACGGUUUUGUUGUCACGGGUAGAUGGUUCCGGGCCGCAUUAGCUAGUUGGUAAGGUAACGGCCAACCAAGGCUACGAUGCGUAGCCGGCCUGAGAGGGUGAUCGGCCACACUGGAACUGAGACACGGUCCAGACUCCUACGGGAGGCAGCAGUGGGGAAUCUUCGACAAUGGGCGAAAGCCUGACGGAGCAAUGCCGCGUGGGUGAUGAAGGUCUUCGGGUCGUAAAGCUCUGUUAUUAGGUAAGAACAAAUGUAUAAGUAACUAUGGACGUCUUGACGGUACCUAAUCAGAAAGCCACGGCUAACUACGUG
rnacentral:rRNA from 1 species